GGCAUGUUUUGAGAAUCAGUAGGCCUUUGUACUUGACUCUUCAGCUAACUCUCUGGGUCGAUGACAGCUGCUCUUGCAAUUAGCCCUUCCCCUGACCUCAUGGUCAACCACAAUAGCCUUGGAGAUUUCAGGAAGGGAAACUAUUGCUUUUUAGGUAUCUGGACAAGACCUGCAUGUGUGCAAAUUAAUAGGGGAACUGUUUUCUGUGCUUUAUUCUCCUUCUUCUCUCUUGGUUACAAAUUGUCCUCAUUCAUAUGUGACAGGCACAUCUGGUUACCUACUCUAAUGGGUGCAGAAAUGGAUCUAACAGGAAGGGGAAGCCAUAUAAUACUCCCCAGGAAUGUUUAAAAGAGGAUUCUUCAGCCUUUCAUGGAAAACAGGAGUUUUAAGGGGACAUCCUAGCCAAUCUCUCAAGGUUGUGUAUCAGAUGGGGAUGUGUCUGGUUGUAUCACUUUUGGAAGGGCAGCUUAUCCCUCUUGGGCAUGAAGCAAGAUAGUUUCAGAAAAGCAGCGCCAUGGCAAAUUGGAAUAAUUCCGUCACCAACGAAAUGUAAUAUUAUAUUUACAAGGUGGAACACUAGGCAGCUCGAUUCAAUAUGAACACCCUCUAUCGUCUGACUCUAUCUGAUGAAGGCUAACAAGGCCAUCACCAUGUUUUCCUACCCUAAAGAACAACUGGUUCCUGUCCUGUCCCACUUCCUGGCCAUGUUCCUCUUGGUAUUUAGCAGUGACUGUUCUCCUAGGGGCCAUACUGUGGCAUAUCCCCUAUGCAGGAGCAGAGAAAAUCCUGCCACCAAAUGCGAGUAAAGAAAUGCCUUCAGAACUACAACCUGGUCAAGACCCUACAGCUCUUUUAUCAGGCCCUGAAAUUAGAUUGAGAAACAUACAGAGUUUUACAAAUAAUAAUGAUACCAAUAGCUCCUGGUACUUUUAGUUCCUCAAUUUUCUUUUUUGUUUUUUCUCCUUUCAAGCCACUGUUGUUCAAGAAGGACCUCACUGAUACCUGACAUGACACAUCAGAAAAUAAGUGUGAAGUCUGGCUAUGCUAUAACCCUGAGAGUUCACAUUUGUGGUUCAAUCAUGGCUACAUGUGAGCUGUUUACACUCUAGUUAUCUCUUGAAAUUUGGCAGUCAUUACUUAUCUAUGUACAAUUUGACUUCUCUCUUCCCGCCGGGGAAAAACUAUGCCUCGUUACCAUCUUUAUAUCUUUUAUCCAUCUUCUUUUUAAAAUUAGUUUGUUGAUGUUUCUCUUUCUAAUUAUAACAUUUGGGAAAUACAGAAAAUUCUACUGGACAUGAAAACUCAUGAUAUAACAACACUCACAAUAUCAUUAUCCAAAGGUAUCCACUGUUAGCAUUUUUCGUACUUCCACUCAACCCUUUUCCUUUCCUGCCUUUUUAGAGGUAAAAAUCAUACCAUGCAUUUUUAAUUUUUUUCUUCACUUUUCUCAGUAUUUUAUUAUAAGCAUUUCCCAUUUAAUACAAAACUUCAUAAAUAUUAUUGGUUUCAUGAUUCCCUACUAAAGGACAAUCAUAUAAUUUAUUUGAACAGUUCCCUAAUUGGGGAUAUUCAGACUAUUUCCAAGGGUAUGAAUAGCAUACAUUUGAGAAAUGAACAUGAAAGAGCAUUUUAUUUAUGCGUCUAACCAAUUUGUUUCCCUAGAAGUACAGAGGCAGACUCAAUGAAUCAGAGUGAGUAUUUUUGUGGCUCUCAAUACAUAUAACUUCUGCCUGUUUUCAAACCUGAUUUUAAGUUUUACCUAGUUCCAGAUAGUUGUGACUACAUGUAGUUAAUGUUCAUCUAUGAGAAUUGCUGACUAAAUAUAAGAGAAGGUAAUUGAAGGGAAAUGUAAUGAGAAGGGGGUAAUUUUCUUGGAAUUUCCAUUUUGAAGAGUUAUUUUAUCCUUGAUUAAGUUAUACGUCAAUUUUAGUGUGACUUUUCUGACUAGAGAGAACAUGCCAGACCUUUUAGCUUUCCUUUAGAAGUGGUCUUCAGGAUUUUUCUUGUUUGCUUUUUCUUCCGAUUCUUAAGUGAAUUUAGGCUCUCUCUUCAUUUUUCUGAUGCAAAUAUCCAUGUGGUCUGGACAAAGGAGAUGCAUUCUUCUUUUGUCCUUCCCUACUAUUGGGUUCACUUUAAUCUGUAACACAAAGCAAGUUAUCCCUCUAUUUUCUAAACAUUUUUGUGAUCUCAGUUUUAUUCUGUCCAGUUUCUUGUUUAGCUGCCUAAAUUCUCCCAGCUCAUUCACUCACAGCCACUUCUGGAUGAUACUUGUUGCUUCAGGUUAAUUACUCCUGUAUUAGUCCAUUUUCAUGCUGUUGAUAAACACAUACCCGAGACUGGGCAAUUUACAAAAGAAAGAGGUUUAAUGGACUCACAGCUCCACCUGGCUGGAGAGGCCUCACAAUCAUGGUGGAAGGUGAAAGGUAUAUCUCACAUGGCGGCAGACAAGAGAAGAGAGUUUGUGCAGGGAAACUCCCCUUUAUAAAACCAUCAGAUCUUGUGAGAAUUAUUCACUGUCAACAGAAUAGCAUGGGAAAGACCUGUCCCCGUGAUUCAAUGACCUCGCCCCAGAUCCCUCCCACAACACUUGGGAAUUAUGGGAACUACAAUUCAACAUAAGAUUUGGGUGGGGAUACAGCCAAACCAUAUCAGCCUUAUCCAAACUGUGGCCAGAGAGCUAUGUACUCCGAAGGGUUUCCAAUGCCACCAUUCCACAGUCUUACAGUAAAAUGUCAUCAAACAUUCCUGUUAAAUGUUGUUCACUUUGUUCUCACUCUGACAUAAUUCUCUUUCGUUUCUCUCUCCAGGAAAGAGAACUGAAUCCUUCCACUGAGUCCUAUUUUGUAAGCAGAUCAUUCCUUCUCUACGCAGAGCUGUCGAAGUCACAGAAAGCACUAACAUUCCAAUGGUGAUUUUCCUUAAGAAACAGCAUUUUAAACAGUGACUGGGGAGAUGAGUAGCUAUGGCUUCUCUCUAACUGUGGUUUUGUGUGUCUUUGUGUAUGAGCAGCAGAGGGCAGUGAAAUGGGCGGAGGGAUAAAAAUAGCCAGUCCUUUUAUGUUUGGAUUGAAAAAAAUAUCUUGCUAAUGCAGUUCUACAUUUAACAAUUUUUCUUAGGUAAGUUAGACAUUUAAUAGCAAAAGUCACUGAUGUUCUAUGGAAGGACUUCACCAGUCUUCUCUAUAAAUGACAAACUGCUGGAAUGUAAAACAUUUGGUUUUUUACAAAUGCCUUUACUCGGGUUGGAAGUCGUGAUCUAUGUUUCAGGUCAAAGGCAAGAACAUGCUUUCCCCUAUCUGUUUCCUGUCUCCAAACGAUCAAUCAUUUAUUUCCCCAGGGAAUUGUAGUUCUUGGGCAUGUGGCCUGUUUUCCAUUGGCUUCUAUUAUCUUUUGCUAAUUAGAUUACAACCUAGUAUUUACCUAACUAUGUGGCUUUGAGACAUUCCCCCUCCCGCCGCAGUGUUUUUCUGUUCGCUUUACGAAUGCUGCACCUCAUGAGUUCUCUUGGCCUGCUUUGUUAAACCAGGCAAAAUGAGGAGCUCUACAUUCACAUUUGAGGGGAAAGGAGUAAAAAAAAAAAAAAAAGAAAAUUAAUUAAUCUUACUCUAUGUUCAGAUCUAAUUCACCUUUGAGGAUACGCCCUCAGGAAAUUUUAGAGUUGUUGCUAUCUCUAGACUACUUUAGAUUUUAUUUUAUAACUCUCACCUUGAAUUUACAUUUUGCUUAUACUAGGUAAAAAUUUAUUAUCUGACACCAAAUAGUAUUGCGUCCCACUGUGAUGAUUAAUUUUAUGUGUCAAUUUGGUUAGGUUAUGAUGACCAGUUGUUUGGUCAAACACCAGUCUAGAUAUUGCUGUGAAGGUAUUUUUUAGAUGUGAUUAACAUUUAAAUUAGUAGAAUUUGAAAAGCAGGUUAUCCUAUAUAAUAUGGGUGGGCUUUAGUAAGUCAGACAAAGGCCUUAAAAGACAAGGACCCACAAAGAGAAAGGAAGUUUUGCCUCCAGACUGCACGGUAGAAUUUCUAGCUUUUACCAUCAAGACUGCGACAUCAAUUCUUACCAGAAUUUCUAGCCUGCCCUGUAGAUUUUCAACUUGUGAGUCCCCACAAACGCAUGAACCAAUUACUUGAAACUUCUCUCUCUCUCUCCCCCUGUGGGUGUGUGUAGGGUGUGUGUGUGGUAUGUGUGUGUGUGUGUGUGUUUGCAUAUAUAUGUAUCCUCUGGGUUCUGUUUCUCUGGAGAACCCUGACUAAUACACACACUUUGCCCCAUUCACCCUCAGUCUUUUCUGAUUUUUUUUCCCCAAAUAUUCUAUUUAUGAAGAAACUUUCUUCUAAAACUCUGUAUUAAUCCAAGCACCCAUAUCCUUCAGUUUCUAUUAAUAUUCUGAGCUUGUAAGGAUAGAUACAUUGAUUUCUAGUUAAUUAAAAGGUCUUAGGGCCUUAGGUGCAUAUGUAUCACAAGGGAAUAUAAGGUAGUCUAGCUGGAAAGGCAAGAAACCUUUCUCUACAGCACAGAAGAGACAUUUAUCAUAAUGGAAUUAUUGGCUGUAAAAUGUCUAACGAACAUUUUCAAUUUGGAUGGAAUCUGGUUUGCCAUAAACCUUAUAUAUUAGAGAUAACAUUUUAAAGGUUGGCUACAGAGGUUCUCUGUAGGGAUAGGGGAGCUGUAUGGAGCAUAUAUCAAAUCUCCUGUGAAGCUUUUGAGAACUUUCUCCUCCAUUUUGAGAAGAGCAUCUCUGUCCAGGGCAUCUCUGCCCAUGCUGCUUGCAUAAGCUUCCCAGGACACACUCACAGCCCUCCCCCUCUAGCCCCUCCUCCUCACUGUCUUCCAUCAUCAUUUCACUAUCACUGGACUCUUGGGAAGAACAGAACAGGCAGAGAAGAGGAGGCUUUCUGACACAGAGUUAGAGAAAAUUUUCACCUGAAGGCACAAACUUUAUUUUAGAACUUCCAAAAUAUUCUAGAUCCCCCCCCCCCCCAACAAAGAUUGGUGUCAGCUGAUUGGUUGCAAAUUUCUUUCUGGGAGUCCUGGCAGGACUGCCUAUUGCUACCUUACCUCCUAAUCUUUCAAACUCUUUCUAUCACAGUGUAAAAAUAAGAGAUGGGAAGAACUGAGGACCAGACAAAUGGAACACACAUUAAAGAGCUCAAUAAUUUUGUCAACCUAAAAUAACCCAAAAGGUCAGAAUCUAGUUUAAAGAGAGUUUAUUCAAGUGCAAAUGUUGAGGACUGCAUCCCAGCCCAGCAUACACUUCCAAGUUGCCUUGGGGAAUGCCCUGGAGACCAAAAGAGAGGCUCAAGUUUUUAAGGAAAAAAAAAGAAUGAAUCAGGAGAAGGGCAAUUAUGAAAGUUGUUCAUUGGGAAUUCUCAUUGGUUUACAGAAAUCACAUUGGUUAAUGAUUGGUUAUACAUUGUUGAACUACAGGGAGUAUAGGGUUUUAUAGAUACUUGGAAUCAGUUAGUCUAGAGCCUGCAUAGCAAGUGGUUUCAAGACUUAAUUAUUUAGCUCAAGGGAGAGUGAGAUGUGACUGUUGGUACAUUUUAAAUGACUUUCUGAGCCUGAUAAUUUCAAAGGGCUUGCAUUCCUCUGAUGAAUUUUUUUUUUCUUUCUCAAUUCUUUGGGGUAUUUUUGUGGUGGGGGCACAGGGGAACAGCAUCUCACUCUGUUGCCCAUGCUGGAGUGCAAUGGUGCAAUCAUAGUUCACUGCAGCCUCAACCUGGUCUCCAGCAAUCCUCCCACCUCAACUUCCCAAGUAACUUGGAAAGCCCACAGACACGUGCCAUCAAGCGUGGCUUUUUUUUUUUUUUAACAAUUUUUUUUUUUUUUUUUUGUAGAGAAGGGGUCUCCCUGUGUUGCCCAGGCUGGUCUCAAACUUCUGGGCUCAAGAGCUCCUCCUGCCUCGGCCACCCAAAAUGCUUGGACUACAGGCAUGAGGCAUGGUGCCCAGCCAAUUCUUUGGUUCUUAUUGAGCAUUUCUUUUAAGUGGUACAUUGGUAGAAUGUGUACUGGGUAAAUGUAAGACAUAAUCUUCAAUAUAUGGCUAGCUGAACAUUUCUCAUGGUUGAAAACUUUAAGUGACAUUAGAAAAUGAAAAUGUGGUACAUUUCCUACCUUCACCAAGGUUCCAAUUCAGUUGAGAAGAGAAGGCAGAUAGCCCCAAAACAUAAUGAUAGGACUGAAGAAAUUCCCAAGAAAGAGCUUUCAGUGUUAAAACUAGAAGAGCCUCAGGUAACCAAGGAUGAGUUUGUCACCGUUGAGUAUCAAGCAAGGGUGAAGGCCAAGAGUGGUGGAAAAUAGAGAGAAGCCAUAUAGAUGAAGCAGAAUCGUGAGGGAAGUCAUUCUGGAUUAGGUGGAACUCUAGGGAUUUAAGAUUAGGGAGGAAAUGCUGAGGCAAGAGGAAGGAGGCAUUCCAAGAAGAAAGCUCUGGAGGAACAAGGAAAUGAGGCUAGAUUAAGCCUAAUGCCUCCGAAAGACAGCAGGGAGAUAAGAAAGGCUAGUUGGAUCAAACCCAUGCAUUUAAAUUUUAUUCUGUUAACAAUAAGAACCAAUGGAUUUUGAGCAGGGUCCUGUCAUGAUAUAAAGAAUAUUUUCAUUUUAGGUCAUAAAAAAGUUGGAUAGGAGAUAGAGCAGGCUAGAGUCUGAGAGAUCAGAUAUUUUCCUAAUUAACGUUUGAGGAAAUUAAAAAAUAUAAAUUCAUUUGAUUGCAUUAGAAAUACAAAAGUCAGAACACAUAUGAGAAGCAUGUCAAGGAAAAGCUGGCAGAAAACUAUAACUGAUUUGGAAAAGGAGUGGAUAAAGAACAUGGAAUCAAUGAUGCCGUCAGACCUUCUGGAGUCAGAAUCACCAUGAUCCUGGCAUCCUGCGAACUCAUUCCCUACCAGGAAAAGCUGAUGCCUUUGGUUCUUAGGAUGACAUCAUCCCUGAGGCAUGUAAAGGGAUUUAGCCUCCUAUUGCUAAUGCCUUAGAUCAUCUGCUAGCUGGUCUUGGGUACAUGUUUGUUUUGGGUCUGUGUCAUGGGUCCACAAACUAAAUAUAUAAAUAUAUAUUUAUAUAUUAUUAUAUAUUAUAUGUAAUAUAUUAUUAUAUUAUAUAUUUAUAAAUCUAUUUCAACUUAAUUUCUAUUUUGAGCUCACUUGAGCCAGGGUAGCAACAUUUUCUACACAGUUUUUUGAGCCACAAUAGUUUUACUAAAAUCAUACCUAAAUUUUGAGUGUUUAAGGUGUGGCCAGAAGCAUGGGGGAAAGGCAGCCACAAUCUGGGCUUCAAGUCAUCUUUCCAGGUGGCCUCUGAGAUAUCAGUCAUGUUCUGGGGACCCACAAAGGUGGCUGCUGAAAUAACCCUCAUUCUCUCCCAACUAACUGUUGCAUAGCCGUUUUCUCCUCCAGCGAUAUCUCUGCCUUGCUUGUGGGCUUGUGUCUGCAGCAUGCCUGGCUUGGUGGGUCAUAGAAAUCUCUGCCAGUUGGCUAGGGUUCCAACCACCCCAAUCCACUGUGCAGCUGCCCCUUUUCUGGGGUUUGUUUGCCUCCCUUAAAAAGGAGGCAGCCAAGCCCCAUUAGCUGGGGCUCACUGAUACUAAUCCUGGGCCCCUCAAACUGAUGAAAAAUCGGUCCUCUGCUCGUUUUUCUUUUUCUCUUUCCUUCCUUUCUCUUCCUUCCUUCCUUUCUUUCCCUCUCUCUUUCUUUCUCUCUCUUUUUCUUUCUUUCUUCCUUUCCUUUCCUUUCCUUCCUUCUUUCUUUCUUUUUUUUUUUUUUUUUCAGAG